GCUCUGUUGAGGAGUCCCAUAAUAGGACGAAACGGCCGUCCAGUGC
rnacentral:hammerhead_ribozyme from 1 species